AAACCCAGUGUGAUUCGUCACACUAUCAUUAACUGAAUCCAUAGGUUAAUGAGGCGAACCGGGGGAACUGAAACAUCUAAGUACCCCGAGGAAAAGAAAUCAACCGAGAUUCCCCCAGUAGCGGCGAGCGAACGGGGAGGAGCCCAGAGCCUGAAUCAGCAUGUGUGUUAGUGGAAGCGUCUGGAAAGGCGCGCGAUACAGGGUGACAGCCCCGUACACAAAAGCGCAUGUGCUGUGAGCUCGAUGAGUAGGGCGGGACACGUGGUAUCCUGUCUGAAUAUGGGGGGACCAUCCUCCAAGGCUAAAUACUCCUGACUGACCGAUAGUGAACCAGUACCGUGAGGGAAAGGCGAAAAGAACCCCGGCGAGGGGAGUGAAAAAGAACCUGAAACCGUGUACGUACAAGCAGUGGGAGCACCCUUUGGGUGUGACUGCGUACCUUUUGUAUAAUGGGUCAGCGACUUAUAUUCUGUAGCAAGGUUAACCGAAUAGGGGAGCCGGAGGGAAACCGAGUCUUAAUUGGGCGUUAAGUUGCAGGGUAUAGAC
rnacentral:rRNA from 1 species